rnacentral:rRNA from 1 species
CCUACGGGGGGCUGCAGUCGAGAAUCAUUCACAAUGGGGGAAACCCUGAUGGUGCGACGCCGCGUGGGGGAAUGAAGGUCUUCGGAUUGUAAACCCCUGUCAUGUGGGCGCAAAUUAAAAAGAUAGUACCACAUGAGGAAGAGACGGCUAACUCUGUGCCAGCAGCCGCGGUAAUACAGAGGUCUCAAGCGUUGUUCGGAAUCACUGGGCGUAAAGCGUGCGUAGGCUGUUUCGUAAGUCGGGUGUGAAAGGCGCGGGCUCAACCCGCGGACGGCACAUGAUACUGCGAGACUAGAGUAAUGGAGGGGGAACCGGAAUUCUCGGUGUAGCAGUGAAAUGCGUAGAUAUCGAGAGGAACACUCGUGGCGAAGGCGGGUUCCUGGACAUUAACUGACGCUGAGGCACGAAGGCCAGGGGAGCGAAAGGGAUUAGAUACCCUUGUAGUC